rnacentral:rRNA from 1 species
UACGGAGGGGGCUAGCGUUGUUCGGAAUUACUGGGCGUAAAGCGCACGUAGGCGGCUUUGUAAGUUAGAGGUGAAAGCCCAGGGCUUAACCCUGGAAUUGCCUUUAAGACUGCAUCGCUAGAAUCGUGGAGAGGUGAGUGGAAUUCCGAGUGUAGAGGUGAAAUUCGUAGAUAUUCGGAAGAACACCAGUGGCCAAGGCGACUUACUGGACACAUAUUGACGCUGAGGUGCGAAAGCGUGGGGAGCAAACAGG